GCGGGAGGAAGGUGGGGAGAAGGAGCGGGCGGUGGCGGCGCUGACGCUGCAGCUGCAGAAGAUGGAGGCCUCUCGUGCUCAGGAGCCAUCGGCAGAAGAGGUGCAGGCGCUGCGCGCGGAGGUGGAGCUGCUCCACCAGACGCUGCAGGACCUCACCCANNNNNNNNNNGAGGGACAUGGAGACGGAUGGGUGGAUGGAUGGAUGGAUGGAUGGAGGAUGGAUGAAGGACAGUGGAAAGGGGGAUGGAUGGACGGGGGCUGGAUGGAUGCCUGGAGGAUGGAUGGAGGAGAAUGGCUGGAUGGACAGACAGAUGGGAGGACGGAUAGACGGAUGGACACGGGGUCAGGCGUAUGGGAGGGCGGGUGGCUGGAUGCACAGAGGAAGGAUGGAGGAGAAGGGACAGAAGGGUGAGAGGACGGAGGACAACCGCUGACCCCGUUGCUCCCCCAGGAGGCCCGGGAGGUGUCGGGGAGCCUGCGGCGGGAGCUGGGGGACAGCGAGAGCCGGCGGGCGGCCCUGGAGCAGCGGCUGGAGCAGCUCAGCGCCGAGGCUGGGGGCUGCCGGCGGGCGCAGGAUGAGGCCGUGCGCGAAGCCGCCCGCCUGCGCGCCGACAUCGAGCUCCUGCGCAGCGAGCGGAGCCGCGUGGAGCAGGCGCUGGCGGCGGAGCAGGCGCGGGCGGGGGUCCUGCAGCGCAGCGAGGCCGAGCUGCAGCGCCGCGGCCGGGGGCUGGAGGAGCAGCGGGACGAGGCCGCCCGUGCCGCCGAGGCUGCGCGCCAGCAGCUGGAGCACAGGUGGGGACCCCCCGGUGCCGUGACCCCCCCAUGGGGCUGCAGAAUAGUGCCUCACCCCUCCCGUGGGUGCUGCCCCCACCCCCGGCUGUCUCCAUCCCUCGCAGGCAGUGCUGGCGGAUGACCCUGGGUCCCCGACGGAGCCUCCGAGGCUCCCCUGCCGCAGCCUCUCGCCCGCUGCAGCUGCGGCCACGCUGGGGGCUGUGCACGGAGCCCUGCGGCGCCGGCACUUCCAGCUGCAGGAGGCCCGGGAGGUGUCGGGGAGCCUGCGGAGGGAGCUGGGGGACAGCGAGAGCCGACGGGUGGCCCUGGAGCAGCGGCUGGAGCAGCUCAGCGCCGAGGCUGGGGGCUGCCGGCGGGCGCAGGAUGAGGCCGUGCGCGAAGCCGCCCGCCUGCGCGCCGACAUCGAGCUCCUGCGCAGGUACCCCCUGCCUGUCCGUCUGUCCGUCCGUGGCCUCUGUCCCUGCACACCCUCCACCUGCCUGUCCCCACGGCGUGUCCGUCUGUCCGGCAGCGAGCGGGGCCGCGUGGAGCAGGCGCUAGCGGCGGAGCAGGCACGGGCGGGGGUCCUGCAGCGCAGCGAGGCCGAGCUGCAGCGCCGCGGCCGGGGGCUGGAGGAGCAGCGGGACGAGGCCGCCCGUGCCGCCGAGGCUGCGCGCCAGCAGCUGGAGCACAGGUGGGGACCCCCCCGGUGCUGAAACACCCCCCCAUGGGGCUGCAGAAUACUGACUCACCUCUCCCGUGGGUGCUGCUCCCCUCCAUGGGUGAUACCCCCAUGGGUCCUCCCCAUCCAACGGGUGCUGCCCUUCCCAGUUGGUGCUCUCCCCCCAGUGGGUGCCCCCCCCAAUUUGUGCCCCCCC
rnacentral:lncRNA from 1 species